CCUACGGGUGGCAGCAGUGGGGAAUAUUGGGCACUGGGCGCAAGCCUGACCCAGCAACGCCGCGUGCAGGAAGAAGGCCCUCGGGUUGUAAACCUCUUUUCUUCGGGACGAAACAAAUGCCGGUACCGAAUGAAUCAGCCACUCCUAACUACGUGCCAGCCGCCGCGGUACUACGUAGGGUGCAGUCGUGAUCCGGAUUUCCGGGGUGUAAAGGGCGUGUAGGCGGGAGAGCAAGUCAGACGUGAAAUUCCAGGGCUCAACCCGGGAACUGCGUUUGAAACUGUUCUUCUUGAGUGAUGGAGAGGCAGGCGGAAUUCCGUGUGUAGCGGUGAAAUGCGUAGAUAUAAGGAGGAACACCAGUGGCGAAGGCGGCCUGCUGGACAUUAACUGACGCUGAGGCGCGAAAGCGUGGGGAGCAAACAGGAUUAGAUACCCCAGUAGUC
rnacentral:rRNA from 1 species